UAUGCUGGAAUGAUAUCUGAAGAUUAUAUGUGAGAGUCAUUAUCACAUAUCAACACAUAGUCUAUUGGCACUUGAAUUUUAAGAAGCUAAAUAUGAUGUGGACUCCAAUACAUGAUGAAUUUCACGGCAACUAUUAUUGCAUGUAUGUGUUGAUAGCAGCAUUAAGUUCAUUUUGAAGUCUGCAAUAUAAAUAUUUGUACACACCGAUUACUUAUCUGCUUGCUUGGUGUGUUGGUG
rnacentral:lncRNA from 1 species